rnacentral:rRNA from 2 species
UACAGAGGUCUCAAGCGUUGUUCGGAAUCACUGGGCGUAAAGGGUGCGUAGGUGGCUUGGUAAGUCAGAUGUGAAAGCCCGGGGCUCAACCCCGGAAUUGCAUCCGAUACUGCCGAGCUAGAGUACUGAAGGGGAAACUAGAAUUCUCGGUGUAGCAGUGAAAUGCGUAGAUAUCGAGAGGAAUACCAAAGGCGAAGGCAGGUUUCUUGGCAGUUACUGACACUGAGGCACGAAGGCCAGGGGAGCAAACGGG